GCGCCUGUAAUUCAAUGGAAGAAUAUAUGACUUUUAAUCAUACUACAACGGAUCGUAACCGUUCAGGCGCACCA
rnacentral:tRNA from 1 species